UUAUAUGAGAGUUUGAUCCUGGCUCAGGACGAACGCUGGCGGCGUGCCUAAUACAUGCAAGUCGAACGCACGAAGUUGAAGAGCUUGCUCUUUAACCAAGUGAGUGGCGGACGGGUGAGUAACACGUGGGUAACCUGCCCAUUAGAGGGGGAUAACAUUCGGA
rnacentral:rRNA from 1 species